UACAGAGGUCCCAAGCGUUGCUCGGAUUCACUGGGCGUAAAGGGUGCGUAGGUGGUGGGGCAAGUCUGAUGUGAAAUCUCCGAGCUCAACUCGGAAACGGCAUUGGAAACUGCCCUGCUCGAGGAUUGGAGGGGGGACUGGAAUUCUCGGUGUAGCAGUGAAAUGCGUAGAUAUCGAGAGGAACACCAGUGGCGAAGGCGAGUCCCUGGACAAUCCCUGACGCUGAGGCACGAAAGCUAGGGGAG
rnacentral:rRNA from 1 species